rnacentral:rRNA from 1 species
UUUAAUUUUAUUUCUACUCCUCGGGCUCCUGUGACUGGUAAAAUUCAUGAGACGAGGCCGACAACUACAGCGAAAGCAUCUCCUUUUUUUAUUAAUCAAGAACGAAAGUCAGAGGUCGAAGAGGUUGAUACCGCCCUAGUUCUGACCGUAAACGAUGCCAACUAGCGAUCCGCCGAUGGAAAUUAUAUUGCCUUGGUGGGGAGAAUCCCGGAAACGAAAGUCUUCCGGUUCCGGGGGAAGUAUGGUUGCAAAGCUGAAACUUAAAGGAAUUGACGGAAGGGCACCACCAGGAGUGGAGCCUGCGGCUUAAUUUGACUCAACACGGGGAAACUCACCCGGCCCGGACACUGUGAGGAUUGACAGAUUGAUAGCUUUUUCAUGAUUCAGUGGAUGGUGGUGCAUGGCCGUUCUUAGUUCGUGGAGUGAUUUGUCUGGUAAUUCCGAUAACGAGCGAGACUCUAACCUACUAAAUAGUUGGUACAUACUCUUAGUGUAUACAGCUUCUUAGAGGGAUUUGCGGCGUUCAGCCGAAAGAAAUUGAGCAAUAACAGGUCUGUGAUGCCCUUAGAUGUCCGGGGCUGCACGCGCGCUACACUGGCAAAAUCAACGUGCUUGUCCUACCCUGAAAGGGGCGGGUAAACCAUUGAAAAUUUGCCGUGAUUGGGAUCGGAAAUUGCAAUUAUUUUCCGUGAACGAGGAAUUCCAAGUAAGUGCGAGUCAUCAGCUCGCGUUGAUUACGUCCCUGCCCUUUGUACACACCGCCCGUCGCUGCCCGGGACUGAGCCAUUUCGAGAAAUUUGGGGACCGUUGAUUUAAUUUUUCUAAAUUACUUUGAUGGAAACCAAUUUAAUCGCAGUGGCUUGAACCC